rnacentral:lncRNA from 1 species
UUUUUUGUUUUUUUGUUUUUUUGUCUUUAGGAGCUUUGAACAACAGGAGUUCCCAUUGUGGCUCAGUGGGUUAAGAACCCGACUGGUAUCCAUGAGGAUGUGGUUUCAAUCCCUGGCCUUGUUCUGGUGUGGCUGCAAGAUGUGGCAUAGUUCGCAGAUAUAGCUCAGAUCUGGCAUUUCCAUGGCUGUGGCAUAGGCAGCUGCAGCUCCUAUUUGACCUGUAGCUUGGGAAUUUCCAUAUGCUGCAGGUGCAGCUGUAAAAAGAGAAAAGAAACUCUGAACAAUAAAAUAAAUUUAAAAGUAUUAAAAUAAAAAGCAUAAGCUACUUCAGCUUUCUAACACCAAAAAGAGCCCGUCGGUGAAUCAAGUAAUAAUCAAUAACUACUCUGAAUAACUCUUACUGUCUUCUUUAAAAUCAUUUUUCAUUCUGGAAUGGAAAAAAAUUAUGUACAGGGAAAUUUUUUCAAUUUUAUUAACGGGUAUGAUGGGGAUUACUCGAGGAGAUAGUGUUCAGCCACUCAAUACACAGAAUAACUUUCAUAAGCAAUAAGAAUAUGAACUUGUAAAAAAUAAAUAUAGUGAUGCAGCAGAAGGUCACAUAGAAAGAAAGAAGAUAUAGCAUAUAACAUCCCUUUCAUACUGAAAAAAUAUUGAGUGAUUGAGCAAAUAAAAAAGCAAUGAAAUAGUGCCCUAUUAGGUCAGAGAGCAUUUGUUAUUGAUGGUGCAAACAUCUUACUUCACGCAUAAGUAUAAAUAUUUUAUAAGAUCAGGACUUUUUACAUUUGAUUUAGUUGGGGCAAAACUGAUCUAGAUGGGUAACAAAUAUUUUAAAAUAAUAAUCAUACCAAGUGAAUAAAUCAGAAAGACAGACACCAUAUGAUAUCACUUAUAUGUGGAGUCUAAAAUAUGGCACAAAUGACCCAUCUGGAAAACAGAAAUAGAUCAGAACAGAACAUGGAGGACAGACUUGUGUUUGCCAGGGGAUUGCGGGGGACUGGGAUGGACUGGGAGUUUGGGGUUAGUAGAUGCAAGCUGUUGCAUUUGGAGGGGAUAAGCAAUGAGAUCCUGCUGUAUAACACAGGGAACUAUACCUAGUCACUUGGGAUGGAACAUGAUGGGGGAUUGAUACUGUGAGAAAAAGAAUGUGUAUGUGUGUAUAUACAUAUAUGGGUCACUGCUGUACAGUAGAAAUUGACAGAACAUUGUAAAUCAGCUAUAAUAAUAAUAUAUAUAUAUAUAUAUAUGUGUGUGUGUGUGUGUUCUUCUAGAAAAUAAUAUAAAAUAGUAAUCCAUUUUCAAAAACCAAAGAGGUUUGCAGGAGUAGGCAAAGUGGUUGGAAAUCUGAGAUGGGAGAAAGAUUUCAAAAUCAAGAAAAAACCUGGGAUUUUUUAACUUCUAAGGGACACUUGGGUUAGGUUUAACUUGAAAAAAGGCAAAAAGUUUUACCUGCAAAGUAAACAGAUGUGCAUUUCUUCAGUCUUUUACUUUAUUUCUGAUCACUUACAUGUGACACGCAAAUGAUAUACCAUAUUGUAUUUUAUAUGUGUUUGCCAAACAAGUGUACUUCAAACUUCCAUGUCUUUCAGGUUUUAUAUCUUGCUGUGAUUUUUCUACUUCUGCUGAAUUCUAUGUCAUACUAAUUCCCUGGGAGGCAGCUCCUUUCUUUAAGUUCAAAGUUUAGUCCAUCCUGGGCAGAGAUUUUUUUUUUUUUCCCCUUAGUUUCCUUAAAAUAGUCUCACAAAAUCAAAUCCAUGCACUAGAUUUUAUUCAUGUUUCAGGAGUAAGAGAAGAUGGCUGGAUUGCUGCAUAGCACAGAAGUCAAAACUGAAUAUAAACCAUACUUGUCUCUGAAAUAUUUUAGCCAUUCCCACCAAAAGGAAUCUCUACCUGCCACAUUUUCUCCACAGCCUGGGCAAUGCCCACUAAGCUGUUAUACGUUCUCUCAUCCUCCCUUUUCUCUCAUCCCUGAGCUUCUACCUCUCCACUUUCUUGGACAGAUCUCAGAGCCUUUCUUAGUCUAUAAUCAUAUCUUAUCCUAUUCAUUUUGUUCAUCCCAUGAGGUCUUCUUUCACCAGAAGAUGCUGCUGCUGCUGACGAUGAUGAUAAAGAUGAGGAUAAUGAUAACUAAUGUGUAAUAAACUUUUCUCAUGAACCAAGUAUUGGCUAAAAGAGAUUGUCUACUCAAUUUUAAAACCAACUCAAAGUGGUGGAAAUUAAUUCUUUGUUCCCUCUACAGAUGAGUGUAAAAUAUUCAUUAACAUGUUUAUAGGUAUAAAGGCAGUAAGACCAGUAAUAUUGGAUUUGCAUGCAUGUGGCCUGAUUCCAAAGCCAUCGUGAAGUACCCCCCACCCAAAGGAAGACAGUUCUUCUCUUCAGAGUGAUUCUUCUAUCAGUGUUUAAAUUUCAUUUUUUUUCUUCCAUGUUAUAUAUUUUUGCAUCUAAGUGUGAAAACAAAACAUUUCUGGUGGAAGGCCAUAGUGAUUAUUCAUUGUUUCACUACUCUAUAUUUUCAAAAAUUUUCUAUGGUAAAAUAUUUGAUUUUCUAACAUAAAUAGGAAAUAAAAUCUUUAAACACAAGAAUAAAGAAAUUUUAAAAAUAUAUAAAUAAAUUUCAAAAAACGGAGUUCCUGUCGUGGCUCAGCAGAAACAAAUCUGACAAACAUCCGUGAGGAUGCAGGUUGGAUCCCUGACCUUGGCUCAAUGGAUUGAGGAUACAGUAUUGCCGUGAGAUGUGGUGUAGGUCGCAGAUGCGAUUCAGAUCCAUUGCUAUGGUUUUGGUAUAGGCCGGCAGCUACAGCUCUUUUUCAACCUCUAUAUGCCUCUGGUGCAGCCCUAAAAGACAAAAAAAAAGGAAAUUUAGCUGAGCUAUUUUUUUCCAAUAGGAUAUUUUUGUAAUAAUAUAAUUCAUGGUAUAUAAAUAUUUAAAUAAUUCCUUGUCUACUUUAUAGACUCUUGAGUAUAUUUUGCUAGUAAUUUAAGAACACUAGUUUAAAAAAACCUUUUUUUUCUCAAAUUUUUAUAUCACUAAGUUGGAAAAUUAAAGCCAAAGGAAUUGAUUGUUUGGUAAGUGUACCAACUGAAAAACCCAUAAUCCCUAUUAUCAUUGUUAAAAUGAAUUUUAGAAUUCCACACAUAAAUGCUUGUUUUUUUAUUGUUGUGGGGUUUUGUUUGUUUAUUUGUUUUUUAUCCAUAAGCGAUCAUUGUACUGCAUCUUGAUUUGUGGAGCCUCAAACCGUUUUCUUGUAUUCAACUUAUUUUUUUCCCCCAUUGAUGGGAAGACAAAAUAUUUUAAAGUGAAAGAAAUAUCUUUAACAAAUACGUGUAAUUUGUAAUCUGUCUCAAAGGAGAGAAGAAAGAUUGCCUAGGGUGUCUCUGGCUCUAAAAUUUGAAUAUUCUUCCUCUCCACUCUGGUGGAAAAAUGUACAAUAGAAUCACAACUCCUCCCUCUCAUUCUGACCACUGCAAAUAUUAACAGGCAGUGUAUGAAUAUUAGGCAGUGUAAAAAUACUAUUCUCUUGUCUGUUAAUUUAUUUUUCCAUAUUACUGUAUGAUGAGUUUAAGCCUGUAUUUAUGAUACCAUUUCCACAUUAAAACACAGAUAAUAACACAAUGGUGUCUUGAGGCUUAGCCAAAAUAAUAAAGAAAUACACCACAGGCAGAGGUCAAAAUUGAAUAAGUAUCAUUCAGAUGAACUUAAUUAUUCAGAUAAUUCUUGUUGCACAUCUCUUGCUGAAACUAAAAUCUGACUAAUGAUAAUCAAUUAAGUUUUAAAUCAAGGAGCUAAGCCUUAUUUGUGAAUUAUAGCUAUUUGUAUGUUUUCACAUAUGCUAUUAUUUGGAUAAUUGAGACCUAAAUAUGUGCAUUGGAGGCCUAUAUUCACAGUAUUUUUUUUACUAUUUUAAUCCACGAGGAAACUAGAAAUAAAUAGUUAAAAAUAAUAACAUUAGGAAUGCACAUGCUAAAUGCUUGCCCAGUUCAAAAAUCUGAAAAGGGAAUACUAACAUUCUAGAAACUUAGGUAAAUGAUCAAGAACUUAGGAAAAGUGUAGGAUUAUAUAGUUUUCUAAGGAAACUCCAUACCGUUAUCCAUAGUAGUUGCACCAACACACAUUCCAACCCACAGUGUAGGAGGGUACACUUUCACACACCCCUUGCUGCAUUUAUUGUUUGUAUGAUUUUUUAUGGUGUGGAGAUUACAUCUCAUUGCAGUUUUAAUUUGUAUUUCUCUAAUAAUUAGUGAUGCUGAGUAUCUUUUCAUGCACUUUUUGGUUGUCUUCGUUGGAGAAAAGUCUGUUUAGAUCUUCUAAUGGUUUUUUUGAUUGGGUUUCCUGUUUUGUUUUGUUUUUUUAUAUUGAACUGCAUGUGUUGUUUAUGUAUUUUGGAGAUUAAUCCCUUGUAAGAUUAAUCCCUUCAUUUGCAAAUAUUUUCUCCCAUUCUGUAUGUUGUCUUUAAAACACAGAAAUCCCACUUCUGGGCAUAUAUCCAGAGAAGAGCAUAAUUUGAAAAUAUACAUGCACCCUAAUGUUCAUUGCAAUACUAUUUACAAUAGCCAAGACAUGGAACAACCUACAAGUCCACCCACAGCAGAAUGGAUAAAGAUGAUGUGGUGUAUAUAUACAAUGGAAUACUACUUAGGCAUAAAAAAGAAAGAAUGCCAUUCAUGACAACAUGGAUAGACUUAGGGAUUAUCAUAUUAAGUGAAGUAAGCCAGACAAAAACAGACUCAUACGGUAUCACUUAUAUGUGGAAGCUAAUAAAAAGAAGAUACAAAAAUAUAUUUUAUAAAAUAGAAACAAAGAUCGCAGAAUUAAACCUAAGGUCACUAAAGGGGAAACUAUGGAGGAGAGAUACAUUGGAAGGCUGGGAUUAACACACACAGUACUAUAUAUAAAAUAGAUGACCAACAAGGACCUACGUAUAGCAUAGAGACCUCUACUCAAUGUUCUGUAAUAACCUAUAAGGGAAAAAAGAGUGGAUAUGUGUAUAUGUAUAACGAAGUGAUUUUUUUUGUAAACUUGAAGCUAAUACAACACUGUAAAUCAACUAUACCCUCAAUAAAAACAACAACAACAAAGAAGAGUGUAUGAUAGUCACUGAGAGAGAGGAGAGGAUCUUAGUUUCAGAGUGGAUGCAGCAUAAAGAACUAACUGACGAUGUUCUCAGUGAUAACAGACUGCUCACCCUUCCUAGGAAGAACUACAUCAGAUACGAGAGAACUCCCUUAUGCUAAAUUGGAUUUAUUUAAUAAGAAAUGAAACUUUAUGGGCCAUGUUGGGGACAGUAACAGAAAGAAUUGAUCACUAACCGAGAGUAGGAAAAUGACGGCAGAGAAAUAGCUCCACAAAUGUGCAAAUUUGAGGAAACAUCUCCCUUGGGGUCAUCCUCAGACUGAAUCAGUGCUGGGGAAAAUGCACACUUCAAUUUUGGGGAGAAAGAAGGAGAUCUGAGAAAGCAAGAGAACAGGCAAGCAAGCAAGCAAGCAAGCGCCAGUGUGGUUAAAACCAGCUCUGAGAGGGGAUUGCACUUAGUAUAAAGAAAAUGUGUACUUCUUGGGAAUGACUUUUUCUUCACCUAUUGCAAUAAUAAGAGUAGAAAAGGCAUUGAGAGAUUAAUAGCCCCUUCAGGCUUGAAAGAGAAAAUAAUUUGAAAAAUUAGAAAAAUCAGAAGCCUAACAAAAAUAUGCUAAUGAAAGAAUCUUUCUGCAACAGAGGUUUCUAUUUGAAAAAUCAUAUGAUCUGAACGUUAAAAAAGUUAAAACCUGGAGUUCCCGUCGUGGC